UCAGCUUCUUGAUAUGCCACACCUGUCAGGUGGAUGGAUUAUCUUGGUUUAGGAAAAAUGCUCACUAACAGGGAUAUGAACACAUUUGUGCAUACAAUUUGAGAUAAAUACGUUUUUUGUGUGUAUGGAACAUUUCUGGGAUUUUUUAUAUCACUUUGCGUUUAUAUUUUUGUUCAGUGUCAAAUCUGCUUACUCGUGGUAGCUAGUCAAUUAAAUACUUUUCCAUUUUUCAUUUUUAACUAGUUAGUAAAAAUGUAUUUCUACAUAUUCAUAUUCUAUUCUUCACCUUGAAAUUGGGAAGUAUGAUCAGUGGAGGCUAGGUUUUGUAGUAUGAUCAGUGGAGGCUAGGUUUUGUAGUAUGAUCAGUGGAGGCUAAGUUUUGUAGUAUGAUCAGUGGAGGCUAGGUUUUGUAGUAUGAUCAGUGGAGGCUAGGUUUUGUAGUAUGAUCAGUGGAGGCUAGGUUUUGUAGUAUGAUCAGUGGAGGCUAGGUUUUGUAGUAUGAUCAGUGGAGGCUAGGUUUUGUAGUAGAUCAGUGGAGGCUAGGUUUUGUAGUAUGAUCUGUGGAGGCUAGGUUUUGUAGUAUGAUCUGUGGAGGCUAGGUUUUGUAGUAUGAUCUGUGGAGGCUAGGUUUUGUAGUAUGAUCUGUGGAGGCUAGGUUUUGUAGUAUGAUCUGUGGAGGCUAGGUUUUGUAGUAUGAUCUGUGGAGGCUAGGUUUUGUAGUAUGAUCUGUGGAGGCUAGGUUUUGUAGUAUGAUCUGUGGAGGCUAGGUUUUGUAGUAGAUCUGUGGAGGCUAGGUUUUGUAGUAGAUCAGUGGAGGCUAGGUUUUGUAGUACAUCAGUGGAGGCUAGGUUUUGUAGUAGAUCAGUGGAGGCUAGGUUUUGUAGUAGAUCAGUGGAGGCUAGGUUUUGUAGUAGAUCAGUGGAAAAAGGUUAAAUUCCAUAAAAAGCAACAAAAUGUAAGAAUUGUGCCAGGGGUUUUACUGUACAUUUCCAAUAGUCACAGUGUGCAUGUCAACAUUACAGGGUUGCUUAACUUCAGAACCUUCUCUGCACCUGAUCACAGGUCAGUUAAGGAUAUUGGUUGCUACGACUUUAGUUGCUUGUGUUUCGAACAGCAUUACUAUACAGUAUCUGUAUAAUUUUUUUUAUCAUCUUUGAACAUUAUUCAAUGUAUCAUCCUACAUUUGUUCAUUAAGGCAGGUAAAACUAAGGUUUUAACUUUGAAGAAGUUUUCGGGGACACUAGUGGUCAUAUUUGGUCUCUUAGGCUACUGUUCAUUCUGUGUAAUAUUACAUAACUGUCCAUGCAAGUCUGGAAAGGUGCUACAGUACAAAUGCAGGUGAACAUGCGAAGCAAUGGGAGGAACAAUGUAAGAACAGAAAACUGAUGGGUGCUUACUAUUUGAAAUCUGUGAACCUAGCUAAUUAUUGAAUGAUUAUCGAUUAUUGAUUCCAUUGAGUUUAUGGGCUCAGUUUUCACAACGAGAACAAGAACAAAAUAUGUUAUAUUGUCAAACAUCUUGGGCCUUAAUACCCACUAUAUAAUACCCAUUAAACAUGAUCAUUUUCAUAAGAAGCAGAGAUUAUUUGUGCAGGCAGUAUAGAUACAACAUGCUUUGUUCAGUCAAGUAACACAUUGCAUUCUAAACAUUAAAGUCACAUUGUACACAGUGACAUUACAGAUCCCAAUGACUGAUCAGUGUUGCAGAAUCUGAUGGAAAUGAACACAAACAUGACCUGACAUGACUUGCAGAUGAUAUCUCAAGCAGAACUUCUCAACAUCUCUGUUUAUAAGGCCCUACAUUUGGACUGAGAAGACACCUGAACUUUCUGAAUACUUUUUGAGGAAGGCAGAGGUCAUCUUCUCUCUGACUUUGGUAAGGAUAUUUAUGAUUUUGGUGUUUUACUCAUAACAAAGCUAUGAAUGCCAGAUAAACUUGAUUUGUACUUGUCACUCAUUAAAAUGAUGUAGAAGUGAAAUAAUAAUGCAUAUCUUUUGUAUGGACUGAUUUAUACAUAGUUAUUUAGUUUCUGAGUACACACUGUUGGUAUAACUCUGUACAUGAAAAUAACUACAGUGAGACCACCAGAGCACCACCAUUGUCCAGGUCAUCAUGGGAGUCAUGACUGUGUCUGUUCUUUUCUGUGUCCUCCUCACCAACCUGGGGACCGAGAUGACUGGGAGGUCUCCACCAGGGUAUCUGGGAUUAGCUGCACCAGUGGAGAGAUUUGCCAGAAGGCCCCCACCAUGGCCCAAUCAGAACCCAUGUCCUCCAGGGUUUUCUCGACCCAACCGUUACUGGGACCCUCUGCACACAUCAACAACAGUCACCUACGAAGCAU